rnacentral:rRNA from 1 species
GACGAACGCUGGCGGCGUGCUUAACACAUGCAAGUCGAACGGAAAGGCCCUGCUUUUGUGGGGUGCUCGAGUGGCGAACGGGUGAGUAACACGUGAGUAACCUGCCCUUGACUUUGGGAUAACUUCAGGAAACUGGGGCUAAUACCGGAUAGGAGCUCCUGCUGCAUGGUGGGGGUUGGAAAGUUUCGGCGGUUGGGGAUGGACUCGCGGCUUAUCAGCUUGUUGGUGGGGUAGUGGCUUACCCAGGCUUUGACGGAUAGCCGGCCUGAGAGGGUGACCGGGCACAUUAGGACUGCGGUACGGCGCAGACGCCUACGGGAGGCAACAGUGGGGAAUAUUACACAAUGGGCGGGAGCCUGAUGCAGCGACGCCGCGUGCGGGAUGACGGCCUUCGGGUUGUGAACCGCUUUCGCCUGUGACGAAGCGUGAGUGACGGUAAUGGGUAAAGAAGCACCGGCUAACUACGUG